rnacentral:tRNA from 1 species
GGGCGAUUAGCUCAGUUGGGAGAGCACCUGCCUUACAAGCAGGGGGUCACUGGUUCGAGCCCGGUAUGGGAUACCA